rnacentral:rRNA from 1 species
UACGUAGGUGGCAAGCGUUGUCCGGAAUUAUUGGGCGUAAAGCGCGCGCAGGCGGUCCUUUAAGUCUGAUGUGAAAGCCCACGGCUCAACCGUGGAGGGUCAUUGGAAACUGGCAGGCUCGAGGGCGAGAGAGGAGGGUGGAAUUCCUGGUGUAGCGGUGAAAUGCGUAGAGAUCAGGAGGAACACCCGUGGCGAAGGCGGCCCUCUGGCUCGAUCCUGACGCUGAGAGGCGAAAGCGUGGGGAGCGAACGGG